AAUAAGCGCAACCAUAAGUUUCCAUAUCUAAUUUUGACCGUCUGUCUUAUUUAAAUUUUUUUUAUAAUUAGUAUUUUUAUUGUUAUUAGAUUAUAAAACAUAAAUAGUACUUUAUGUGACUGAUGCUUUUUAGAUUUUUCUUUAAAAAUCAAAUAAGACGAACGGUCAAAGUUGAACACGGAAACUUAUGGCUGCGCUUAUU
rfam:Oryza sativa Japonica Group DNA, chromosome 9, cultivar: Nipponbare, complete sequence.